CAGAAAAAGUUUAAAAAUUAUAAUUUUUAUGAACAUUGACGAAUAAUGUUAUGAAUAAUGUAAUAGAACCUGAUAUAAAAUAAUCCGGAAAUAUUUACAAAUAAAGCAUAAACAAAAUGACAGUGAUAGCAACACGAUUACCUUUGAUAAUGUGUUUUUUAUAUAAGAAUACGUCUACAUAGGUUGAAAUCUCAGAAAAUAUUAAGCUAUCCACAAAUUCCUGAAAAUAAAGUAGCCGUGAUUUGCAGAAAAAAUGUUCUUAAUUAUUUUUCCCACAUGAUGUCCUUUCAGGUUCCAGGAAACAGCACGGGCAUGUAUUAGGCAUAAUAAGUAAUUAUAAAAAUAUGAGCAAAAAUGAGAUGGUUUAAAAGAGUGAAAAUUUUAAGGUUAAGAAAUCUGAAACUCAAAGGAAAACUGAUUAAAAACUGAUAAAUAAGUACCGUUAAACUGGAAAAGCAAACUACUAUACGCAUAAUACAAAAAACAAUUUAUCAUCUUUAAAACCAUAAGGCAUAGCCAUAGGAUAUAUGAUAUAUGAGAUAGCACAAGGACAUAUCGGCAAGCCUUAGGUUGGUGUUUACGUGUGAAGGUGUGAAUCGCUGUAGUGAUCUGGUCGUAGAUAGAAAAAUAUAAAAUAUUUAUUACAGAACCACACUUAAUCUGAUGAUUUCCUAUGCAUUCAAUACCAAGUUCAAGACA
rnacentral:lncRNA from 1 species